rnacentral:ncRNA from 1 species
CAUCAUUCACUCUGUAUCCUGCUUUCAUAGACGUUAUUUUCCCUUUCGGCACAACUCCAGAACAGAUCCUACAGCAGAGGAGGUUUGGAAGCAGCAAAUUUAGACUGAAGGUGAAAGAGUCCAGAAUCCGAGAAUUUAACUCCCAAGUAGUUCCAAGACUGGGCAAGUUCAAUUUCCUGCCCCAAAUAGUUCAUUUUUUAAGUUUUUUUGUCACGACCCCUAUGAAAAUAUACAAUUUUUGUUUUGAUGGAGUUCACCUCUAAGCAGUUAGUCUUGGCAUAACUAGCAAGGAUAUCUAUUUUUUUACUAAAUCAGGCAAAGAGUCAGCAAAGAUAGCACUAUCAUCUGCAUAAAGAGAUAAGAGGACAUCAGUAUCUGAGGCAAUUGGAAUACCCGAGACACCUCUCGCUCGAAAUGAGAUCCCCGGCUUUCUUAAAAGUGAAGCCGUGGGAAUAGGAUCAGAGUGCCAAGUGGCCAAUUUGGUAAGCAGAACUGGCGCUGUGGGAUGAACCAAACGCAGAGUUAAGGCGCCUAAAUUGACGCUCAUGUGAAACCAUGAAAGGCGUUGGUUGCUUAAGACAGCAGGACGGUGGCCAUGGAACUUGGAAUCCGCUAAGGAGUGUGUAACAACUCACCUGCCGAAGCAACUAGCCCUGAAAAUGGAUGGCGCUGUAGCGUCGUGCCUAUACUCUGCCGUCAAUGACAAAGAUGAUUA